rnacentral:tRNA from 1 species
GGGGCCGUGGUCCAGCCUGGUAAGACGUUGGGCUCCAGACCCAAAUAUCGAGGGUUCAAAUCCUUCCGGCCCCACCA